UUGAACUGAAGAGUUUGAUCAUGGCUCAGAUUGAACGCUGGCGGCAGGCCUAACACAUGCAAGUCGAGCGGUAGCACAGAGAGCUUGCUCUCGGGUGACGAGCGGCGGACGGGUGAGUAAUGUCUGGGAAACUGCCUGAUGGAGGGGGAUAACUACUGGAAACGGUAGCUAAUACCGCAUAACGUCGCAAGACCAAAGAGGGGGACCUUCGGGCCUCUUGCCAUCAGAUGUGCCCAGAUGGGAUUAGCUAGUAGGUGGCGUAACGGCUCACCUAGGCGACGAUGCGUAGCCGACCUGAGAGGGUGAUCGGCCACACUGGGACUGAGACACGGCCCAGAC
rnacentral:rRNA from 1 species